AUUGAACGCUGGCGGCAUGCCUUACACAUGCAAGUCGAACGGCAGCACGGGAGCAAUCCUGGUGGCGAGUGGCGAACGGGUGAGUAAUAUAUCGGAACGUGCCCAGUCGUGGGGGAUAACGUAGCGAAAGCUACGCUAAUACCGCAUACGAUCUAUGGAUGAAAGCGGGGGAUCGCAAGACCUCGCGCGAUUGGAGCGGCCGAUAUCAGAUUAGGUAGUUGGUGGGGUAAAAGCCUACCAAGCCUUCGAUCUGUAGCUGGUCUGAGAGGACGACCAGCCACACUGGAACUGAGACACGGUCCAGACUCCUACGGGAGGCAGCAGUGGGGAAUUUUGGACAAUGGGCGGCAAGCCUGAUCCAGCAAUGCCGCGUGCAGGA
rnacentral:rRNA from 1 species